rnacentral:lncRNA from 1 species
AAACUUGCCGCAUUUGUAAAUAGUGAUAUAACAAAAAUACCAAGCUCAAAGGAAAUUUCAAAAACGGAAAGCUCAAAUGACAAGAAACGCUCUAACACAUUAGAAACAAAUUCAACUUUCGGUUACAUUUUAAUAGUAGUAGUUGAUUUGACUUUUCGGUCACAACCUUAAAUAGUAGUAAAUAUGUCUUUUAAAUUACAAUGAUAACUUUAUUAUUUUAUCUCAAUUGUGCCUCAUGUAACUCUGUCAUUUUGA